rnacentral:lncRNA from 1 species
AUCAGUGGCUCCCCUACUCUACCAGGAAUGGAAACCACCUGUGGACUUGUUUCAAAAUACAGUGCAGGGGACCCAACACCAGACCUAAGUCAGCAUUUUCAGAGACAGGAUUUGGGCAUCUAAAUUUUAAACAAGUGCUGCAAAUGAUUCUACCUGGCAGCCAGGUUUGGGAAACGCUGAUGUAACUCUUACUUAUUAUGUAUCCAUAUGUUUAUGUUGUUUGUUUCUUUUUGCUCGUCUCCUUUUCUGCCUCCUGACAGCCCCAUUAUGGUGUCAUUGGCUUUAUUGUAUGUCUCCUAUUAUUUUACCCCUCUCUCUCCAGUUUCUAGAAAAUUUCUCCACAAACUGAGAGCUCCAGAAUUGAUGACUCAGAGUGAACCGAGGAGAUCACUACUGUGCACAAGUUUGCCUCCAAACAACUGGGUGAUGCCUCCAAACAGACCUGGAAUCAUCCAUUUCUCCAAGGAUCUCUGCUUCUUCUUGUAAAAUAGGCUAUUUAAGGACUACAAUCUGAGCAUUAAGGGUCUUGGAGGAAGGCAUCCUUCUAUUCUACUGAUCAGAAAGCUGGACAAAGUCCCACUGCCAGGCUACACAGUUGGUGCCAUUUGCGGAGGUGACCUUUGACCUUUAACCCACGCGGCCACCCGCCCGAGCUCUUACCCCUGCUGCCCCUCGCGCGUCCCACUCCCCGUCCCUGCCGGAUCCGCUUCCCUGCGCUGGGCCCAGCGCGCCGCCAGGGAAGGGGCCGGAGCCUGGGAGCCCGCCCCGCCGUCGCCCGUCCUCCGCCCGCAGGCCCACCCGCAGCGGUCACGUGAAGGACCGAGCGCCGCGCGCCCAGGCGGGGCCUCCGGCCUGCACGAGGAGGGCAGAGUCCGUUGCGGCUGCCGCCCCGACGCCCGCGCAUCCCCGCUCGCCGCGCCCGCCGCCGCGAUGUCCGGGGCCGGCCUAGCCGCGGUGGUGAGCUGCCUGCGCCCGCAGCCCGGCGAGGAGCCGCAGACCCAUGAGACGUUACUAUUUUUAUAACCACUAGACAACGCAGGUUGCCGCAUACUUCUUUAUUUGUGUAGACCUCGCUCUUGCCCUGUUUGAAGAGUCUGAGUUGCUUCCCCUGCCUUUCUUGGCCACCUCAAUAGCAGAAGUACUCUGCCUGACUGCAUACUUUGGCAGACUGGUACAUUUUGCAAAAGUCACUCCUCAAAUGGUUUUCUGGAAGGAUACAAAAGACAUCUGCACCAUGGUAACCACAGUGGCGAGUGUUCAUUGUAGUACCUGUAAGAGUUUAUGACCGAAGGCAGGAGCCAUGAAGAAAAAAGACUCAAUAGAUUUGCUUUUGAUGAAACAACAACACUUCCAUACAGUGAACGCCAUAAGCACAACUGCAAGCAAACCCCAAACUGAAGAACAAAUAGGGCAAAAUGUGGCAGUGCAGACAUUUCAGCAUAUCAAGAGCACUUCCAAAUUACAGGAAAAAAAAGAUAUCUCAAUAGAUAAUUUUGCUGAAGAUAAGUGAAGGCAACUCAUAAGGAAAAAAUAUGUAAAAUGGCCGAUAGGAAAGAUGUUUAACGUCACUAAUUAAAAAUUAUAGAAUAAAACGACAAUAAAAUACCAUGUGUUUGCCUAUAAAAAAUCUUAGCAAGAUUGAAAACAAACUUUUUGUAAUUUCAAUUUUUAGUUUAGAUUCAGGUGGUACAUGUGCAGGUUUGUUACAUGGGUAUAUUUCGUGAUGGUGAGGUUUGGGGUACAACUGAUCCCAUCACUCAGGUAGUGAGCCUAGAAUCCAGCAGGUAGUUUUUCAACCCUUCCCCUCCUCUGUCCCUUCCCCUCAGGAAUCCCCAGUGUCUACUGUUGCCAUCUUUGUGUCCAUGAGUACCCAGUGUUUAGCUCCUACUUAUAAGUGACAACAUGCAGUAUUUGGUUUUCUGUUCUCUGUUAAUUCACUUAGGAUGAUGGCCUCUGGCUGCAUCCAUACUACUGCAAAGGACAUAAUUUCAUUCUUUUUAAAUGACUGCAUAGUAUUCCAUGGUGUAUAUGUACCACAUUUUCUUUGCCUAACCCACCAUUGAUGAGCACCUAAGUUGCUUCCAUGUCUUUGCCAUAAAACAAAUGUUCUUACACCCUACAAGAGAGAGGAAUAAAACUGUCUUUCUGGAAGGCUCUUUGGCAGCUCCUUUCAAAAGCCUUGAAGGUGAAUAUAUUUUAACCCUGGACUUCCAUUCCUGGGAAUUUAUCUGUAGGAAAGAAGGAUGCAUUCAGAGAUUUAGCCACAAAAUUGGUGGUGGCUGACGGUUU